rnacentral:misc_RNA from 1 species
CAGUAGUCACCCGGGGCGCCGCAAGGCCUCCCGGGUAACCUACCACCCUUUGUUUAUUACACUUUGUUGCUUUGGCAGGCCUGCCCUCGGGCUGCUGGCUCCGGCCGGCGAGCGCUUGCCAGAGGACCCCAAACUCUGAAUGUUAGUGUCGUCUGAGUACUAUACAAUAGUUA